rnacentral:rRNA from 1 species
UACGGAGGGGGCUAGCGUUGUUCGGAAUUACUGGGCGUAAAGCGCACGUAGGCGGCUUUGUAAGUUAGAGGUGAAAGUCCAGGGCUCAACCCUGGAAUUGCCUUUAAGACUGCAUCGCUUGAACAUCGGAGAGGUAAGUGGAAUUCCGAGUGUAGAGGUGAAAUUCGUAGAUAUUCGGAAGAACACCAGUGGCGAAGGCGACUUACUGGACGAUUGUUGACGCUGAGGUGCGAAAGCGUGGGGAGCAAACAGG